GACGAACGCUGGCGGCGUGCCUAAUACAUGCAAGUAGAACGCUGAAGGAGGAGCUUGCUUCUCUGGAUGAGUUGCGAACGGGUGAGUAACGCGUAGGUAACCUGCCUGGUAGCGGGGGAUAACUAUUGGAAACGAUAGCUAAUACCGCAUAAUAGCAGUUAUUGCAUGAUAACUGUUUGAAAGGUGCAAUUGCACCACUACCAGAUGGACCUGCGUUGUAUUAGCUAGUUGGUGGGGUAACGGCUCACCAAGGCGACGAUACAUAGCCGACCUGAGAGGGUGAUCGGCCACACUGGGACUGAGACACGGUCCAGACUCCUACGGGAGGCAGCAGUAGGGAAUCUUCGGCAAUGGACGGAAGUCUGACCGAGCAACGCCGCGUGAGUGAAGAAGGGUUUCGGAUCGUAAAGCUCUGUUGUAAGAGAAGAACGAGUGUGAGAGUGGAAAGUUCACACUGUGACGGUAUCUUACCAGAAAGGGACGGCUAACUACGUG
rnacentral:rRNA from 1 species